rnacentral:rRNA from 1 species
GAACGCUGGCGGUCUGCUUAACACAUGCAAGUCGAACGGGCUCUUCGGAGCUAGUGGCGGACGGGUGAGUAACGCGUGAGAAUCUGCCUUCAGGAGGGGGAUAACGACUGGAAACGGUCGCUAAUACCCCAUAUGCCUCCGGGUGAAAAGUAAUUCGCCUGAAGAUGAGCUCGCGUCAGAUUAGCUAGUUGGUGGGGUAAGAGCCUACCAAGGCGACGAUCUGUAGCUGGUCUGAGAGGAUGAUCAGCCACACUGGGACUGAGACACGGCCCAGACUCCUACGGGAGGCAGCAGUGGGGAAUUUUCCGCAAUGGGCGCAAGCCUGACGGAGCAAGACCGCGUGGGGGAUGACGGCCUAAUGGUUGUAAACCCCUUUUCUCUGGGAAGAAGACUGACGGUACCAGAGAAAUCAGCCUCGGCUAACUCCGUGCCAGCAGCCGCGGUAAUACGGAGGAGGCAAGCGUUAUCCGGAAUUAUUGGGCGUAAAGCGUCCGUAGGUGGUUAUUCAAGUCUGCUGUCAAAGCGUGGGGCUUAACUCCAUAGAGGCAGUGGAAACUGAGUGACUAGAGUGCGGUAGGGGUCGAGGGAAUUCCCAGUGUAGCGGUGAAAUGCGUAGAUAUUGGGAAGAACACCAGUGGCGAAAGCGCUCGACUGGGCCUGCACUGACACUGAGGGACGAAAGCUAGGGGAGCGAAAGGGAUUAGAUACCCCUGUAGUCCUAGCCGUAAACGAUGGAUACUAGGUGUUGCUCGUCAUCGAACCCGAGCAGUGCCGUAGCCAACGCGUGAAGUAUCCCGCCUGGGGAG